GAGGAGCCCGCGCCUGAUUAGCUAGUUGGUGGGGUAAUGGCUCACCAAGGCGACGAUCAGUAGCCGGCCUGAGAGGGCGGACGGCCACACUGGGACUGAGACACGGCCCAGACUCCUACGGGAGGCAGCAGUGGGGAAUUGUUCGCAAUGGGCGCAAGCCUGACGACGCAACGCCGCGUGGAGGAUGAAGGUCUUCGGAUUGUAAACUCCUGUUGACCGGGAAGAAUGGGUCCCGACCUAAUACGUGGGGGCAAUGACGGUACCGGUUGAGGAAGCCACGGCUAACUCUGUGCCAGCAGCCGCGGUAAUACAGAGGUGGCAAGCGUUGUUCGGAAUUACUGGGCGUAAAGGGCGCGUAGGCGGCCUUCUAAGUCGGACGUGAAAUCCCCAGGCUUAACUUGGGAACUGCGUCCGAUACUGGAGGGCUCGAGUGCGGGAGAGGGAUGUGGAAUUCCAGGUGUAGCGGUGAAAUGCGUAGAUAUCUGGAGGAACACCGGUGGCGAAGGCGGCAUCCUGGACCGACACUGACGCUGAGGCGCGAAAGCCAGGGGAGCAAACGGGAUUAGAUACCCCGGUAGUCCUGGCCCUAAACGAUGAGUGCUUGGUGU
rnacentral:rRNA from 1 species